UCUGAAACUCUCACUCUCACAGGAAGGUACUAUAUACAAGUGUAGUCGGGUAGGUUCUUACCAGCCGUAGUACAGCAGCAAUUCCUUCUUAACUCACAUAAAUGGUGUGCAUCUUGUUAGCAGCCUUCUAGUCUUAUUAGCACUUCACUCCAAUUCCGCAUCUUUCUUAUAAGCAGCAUUCCUUACUUUUCUAAAUGAGCAAAGCAAGUCUAAGCAUUCCUUACUUUUCUAAAUGAGCAAAGCAAGUCUAAGCAUUCCUUACUUUUCUAAAUGAGCAAAGCAAGUCUAAGCAUUCCUUACUUUUCUAAAUGAGCAAAGCAAGUCUACUUAACAAACUCGAAGUUUCUGUCGGGACUUCUAUUAGGAUAGGACUCCGAGACGUAAGGUGUAACAUGGCUUGUUUCUUCCUCGAAGGCGCUCCAAACAACUUGCUUUUCUAGUUUUCGCUCAGUCAAGGCCUCAUUCCAGAAUUGCUUCAAGCCCACCCUGACCAUAUUUAUAAGUUGUCUUGACUCCUUCCUUAAUGGAAUAGGAAAAGCAGCCUGUCAGUCUAGCAUGCAUACUAAAUGAUUGACUAAUCCUGAGAGUAAUGCAUCUUACACAUUACAUGAAGAAGACGGCUUUUUCACUACCUAUGGCCUACAUGAGCAAGCGACGUCUAUAUAGCUCGAGUAGCUCGAGGAAGCACAGGUGAAAGAUGGAAUUCAAUCUUGGAAUGGGCUUUUCGGCAAUUUCCAUUAGCAGUUUCAAGAUUCUUUCUAUAGUAUAUGCCGUCACACCUUUGAGCAUACAAACAAAACGGAAGAGGCGCCUGCUGUGGCAGAGUAGAUAUUACGACGCAAAAGCACUAGUCUAUGUUGAUAACCUAUCAGCAGGGGAAGGAGCAUAGGUGGUAACAUAAAGUGACUAGGUUUUAGGUCCAAAAUGAUAUAUAUAUGUGUUUCUUUAGGUACUAAAAUGAUAUAUGUAUGUGUUUCAUGAGCAUUCCUUUCUCUUUCCUUAGAGGUCGUUUGUGUCACGAUCGCAGAGCAGAGGAUUGAGGACUCUCAAGAGCAGCCUCCGUCUUUACUUAUUGUAUGGUUCUCUAUCUAUCUGGUCUUUUCUCUAUUAUUUCUUUUCUGCGGUGUACACCUAUCUGUUUAAAGAGUUCUUUUUUUGCGACAGUAUUGUAUGACUCUCAAGAGCAGCCUCCUGUCUGAAUUGCUUUUAGGGUUGUUCAUGGUUUAUAACCUCUCUAUUUGUACUUCUUUUCAUUUAUCUACGUUCGGCGCUCUCUUUUUUCUUUCAUUCUAAUUGAUUUUAGUACAGUCCUUCUUUCAGUCUACCGCUAUGUGGCUUGGCUUGGUUUGAUCUAAUAAUCCCUUGUCGCUCAGUGCUGGUGAGAUGUCUUGCGCAGGAUCUCUCAUAGCAACCUUUCCUCUAAGUCCACUAAGUGCAAGUAAGUGCAAAUAUAAGGAGCUAUGGCACGGCACGGCACGAGUCUCUCUUUCUCGCAUCUAGUUCCAAUUUCCAUGACAUUCCGCCUAUGGCACUCCAUACAAUAUCAGCAAGCAGAGUGGACUUCAAUCUUAAUGUGUAUUAGAAGCUUGAUUCUUUCAGUUGUUCAUUGAUGCUUUACUUAUCCCCAUUAAUAACUAUUUACUUAUCCCCACCAUUAAUAACUAUUGACUUUUCCCCAUUAAUAACAAAGACAUGGAUGGCAUUUCUAAGGCUAGAGAUUGGUCCCACUUCUAGGUUGACUUCUAUGAGCUUUUUUGUCCCUGCAAUCAAUCAA
rnacentral:lncRNA from 1 species